UACGUAGGGGGCGAGCGUUGUCCGGAUUUAUUGGGCGUAAAGGGCGCGUAGGCGGUCGUGACAAGUCACUUGUGAAAUCUCCGGGCUUAACUCGGAACGGUCAAGUGAUACUGUCGGACUAGAGUACAGAAGGGGCAACUGGAAUUCUCGGUGUAGCGGUGAAAUGCGCAGAUAUCAGGAGGAACACCGGUGGCGAAGGCGGGUCUCUGGGCCGAUACUGACGCUGAGGAGCGAAAGCGUGGGGAGCGAACAGG
rnacentral:rRNA from 1 species